rnacentral:rRNA from 1 species
AUUGAACGCUGGCGGCAGGCCUGACACAUGCCAGUCGAGCGGAUGAAGGGAGCUUGCUCCCGGAUUCAGCGGCGGACGGGUGAGUAAUGCCUAGGAAUCUGCCUGGUAGUGGGGGAUAACGUCCGGAAACGGGCGCUAAUACCGCAUACGUCCUGAGGGAGAAAGUGGGGGAUCUUCGGACCUCACGCUAUCAGAUGAGCCUAGGUCGGAUUAGCUAGUUGGUGGGGUAAAGGCCUACCAAGGCGACGAUCCGUAACUGGUCUGAGAGGAUGAUCAGUCACACUGGAACUGAGACACGGUCCAGACUCCUACGGGAGGCAGCAGUGGGGAAUAUUGGACAAUGGGCGAAAGCCUGAUCCAGCCAUGCCGCGUGUGUGAAGAAGGUCUUCGGAUUGUAAAGCACUUUAAGUUGGGAGGAAGGGCAGUAAGUUAAUACCUUGCUGUUUUGACGUUACCAACAGAAUAAGCACCGGCUAACUUCGUG